CCCUAGUAACGGCGAGUGAAGCGGCAACAGCUCAAAUUUGAAAUCUGGCUCUUUUAGAGUCCGAGUUGUAAUUUGCAGAGGGCGCUUUGGCUUUGGCAGCGGUCCAAGUUCCUUGGAACAGGACGUCACAGAGGGUGAGAAUCCCGUACGUGGUCGCUGGCUAUUGCCGUGUAAAGCCCCUUCGACGAGUCGAGUUGUUUGGGAAUGCAGCUCUAAAUGGGAGGUACAUUUCUUCUAAAGCUAAAUAUUGGCCAGAGACCGAUAGCGCACAAGUAGAGUGAUCGAAAGAUGAAAAGCACUUUGGAAAGAGAGUCAAACAGCACGUGAAAUUGUUGAAAGGGAAGCGCUUGCAGCCAGACUUGCUUACAGUUGCUCAUCCGGGUUUUUACCCGGUGCACUCUUCUGUAGGCAGGCCAGCAUCAGUUUGGGCGGUAGGAUAAAGGUCUCUGUCACGUACCUCCUUUCGGGGAGGCCUUAUAGGGGAGACGACAUACUACCAGCCUGGACUGAGGUCCGCGCAUCUGCUAGGAUGCUGGCGUAAUGGCUGUAAGCGGCCCGUCUUGAAACACGGACCAAGGAGUCUAACAUCUAUGCGAGUGUUUGGGUGUCAAGCCCGAGCGCGUAAUGAAAGUGAACGGAGGUGGGAACCCGCAAGGGUGCACCAUCGACCGAUCCUGAUGUCUUCGGAAGGAUUUGAGUAAGAGCAUGGCUGUUGGGACCCGAAAGAUGGUGAACUAUGCUUGAAUAGGGUGAAGCCAGAGGAAACUCUGGUGGAGGCUCGCAGCGGUUCUGACGUGCAAAUCGAUCGUCAAAUUUGGGCAUAGGGGCGA
rnacentral:rRNA from 1 species